rnacentral:rRNA from 1 species
UACGUAGGGAGCGAGCGUUAUCCGGAAUUAUUGGGCGUAAAGGGUGCGCAGAUGGCACAUUAAGUUUCUUGUAAAAAUGCUAGGCUCAACCUAGUAAGGCAAGAGAUACUGAUGGGCUAGAGUACAAAAGAGGCAAGUGGAAUUCCAUGUGUAGCGGUAAAAUGCGCAAAUAUAUGGCAGAACACCAGUGACGAAGGCGGCUUGCUAGUUUGGUACUAACAUUGAGGCACGAAAGCGUGGGGAGCAAACA